UCAAAUUAGGAAAACCAAACAAAAUUUUGGGCACCUAAUUUGAGAGGGUUUUGAAGGAUCAGAAAAGUUAUUAGAAUUAUUAAGCCUUACUUGAUGUUAUGGUGUGCAUAGCACACCCUAACAAUCUGACACUUCCCUAGCCUGGAUACUUAUUCUCCAUGCCAAUCACGAUUGGGGGACCUGCCUGACAAUCUAAGCAGUUUACUUUUGCAAAUCGUAUGCAAUGAUGCAGGUCAUUUUCAUUCCUGGGCUGCCAUAUGUUCUCAAAUGCAACAUAGGCCCAGCAAACCAAUUUGACAAAUUUCAAUGCGUAAAAACUGAAAUGGGCAAGCUCUAUAUUUGACCCUGUAACUUUCCAAAACACCAUCAAACCUUUACAUAGAGGGCAUCACUGUAUACAAAUAUAUGUAUUUUAUUGCAGUAAAAGCGAACAGUAUUAUGACAUUCACAGUUAACACUCAAUGCAGAACUAACAUUUUUUUGGGUUUCUC